GACGAACGCUGGCGGCGCGCCUAACACAUGCAAGUCGAACGAGCGAGAGAGAGCUUGCUUUCUUGAGCGAGUGGCGAACGGGUGAGUAACGCGUGAGGAACCUGCCUCAAAGAGGGGGACAACAGUUGGAAACGACUGCUAAUACCGCAUAAGCCCACGACCCGGCAUCGGGUUGAGGGAAAAGGAGCAAUCCGCUUUGAGAUGGCCUCGCGUCCGAUUAGCUAGUUGGUGAGGUAACGGCCCACCAAGGCGACGAUCGGUAGCCGGACUGAGAGGUUGAACGGCCACAUUGGGACUGAGACACGGCCCAGACUCCUACGGGAGGCAGCAGUGGGGAAUAUUGCACAAUGGGGGAAACCCUGAUGCAGCGACGCCGCGUGGAGGAAGAAGGUCUUCGGAUUGUAAACUCCUGUUGUGGAGGAAGAUAAUGACGGUACUCAACAAGGAAGAGACGGCUAACUACGUG
rnacentral:rRNA from 1 species